rnacentral:snRNA from 1 species
AUACUCUGGUUUCUCUUCAGAUCGUAUAAAUCUUUCGCCUUUUACUAAAGAUUUCCGUGGAGAAAAUAGUAUCCUUUUCCAAAGUUGAGACACUAGAAAAGUCUGAUGU